rnacentral:rRNA from 1 species
GGAUGAAUCUUGGACAAUGGGGGCAACCCGUGAUCCAGCCAUGCCGCGUGAACGAUGAAGGCCUUAGGGUUGUAAAGUUCUUUCAACGGUGAAGAUAAUGACGGUAGCCGUAGAAGAAACCCGGCUACUCCGUGCCAGCAGCCGCGGUAAUACGGAGGGGGUUAGCGUUGUUCGGAAUUACUGGGCGUAAAGCGCACGUAGGCGGACUAUUAAGUCAGGGGUGAAAUCCCGGGGCUCAACCCCGGAACUGCCUUUGAUACUGGUAGUCUAGAGUUCGAGAGAGGUGAGUGGAAUUCCGAGUGUAGAGGUGAAAUUCGUAGAUAUUCGGAGGAACACCAGUGGCGAAGGCGGCUCACUUGGCUCGAUACUGACGCUGAGGUGCGAAAGCGUGGGGAGCAAAC